rnacentral:rRNA from 1 species
CCUACGGGUGACAGCAGUGAGGAAUAUUGGUCAAUGGACGAGAGUCUGAACCAGCCAAGUAGCGUGAAGGAUGACUGCCCUAUGGGUUGUAAACUUCUUUUAUAUGGGAAUAAAAUGUUCCACGUGUGGGAUUUUGUAUGUACCAUAUGAAUAAGGAUCGGCUAACUCCAUGCCAGCAGCCGCGGUAAUACGGAGGAUCCGAGCGUUAUCCGGAUUUAUUGGGUUUAAAGGGAGCGUAGGUGGAUUGUUAAGUCAGUUGUGAAAGUUUGCGGCUCAACCGUAAAAUUGCAGUUGAAACUGGCAGUCUUGAGUACAGUAGAGGUGGGCGGAAUUCGUGGUGUAGCGGUGAAAUGCUUAGAUAUCACGAAGAACUCCGAUUGCGAAGGCAGUUCACUGGACUGCAACUGACACUGAGGCUCGAAAGUGUGGGUAUCAAACAGGAUUAGAUACCCCUGUAGUC